CCACCUUACAAACGCCAGGACCAGGGUCAGGAGGAGCAGGGAAACGCUAUUGCUGGAGACGAACAGAGCCAGACUGCAGGGGAGAUGGCAGUGGUGCAGGUACCCAACAGUAUGCAUGCAGAGUGAUAGAUGCAAUGGGGCAGGGAAGCAGACACACUUGUUGUGGAGUGCAAGAUUUCCCCCUGAGGGGGAAUCAGCCUCCCUGUCACUUGGGAGACAGAGACAGGGAAAGUUUUGCACAGGAGGACAGAAAACUGCCUGCAAAAGCCAGAGAUACAAGAAGAUCAGAGAGAAAGGGAAGAGUGUGCUCCGUGUAUUCAGCCAUUCAAGUGCUAUGUACUCGGAUACCGUCUGGGUGAGCCGAAGCAUUGCUCUGCAAAUAUUGACAGUCUCUUCAUUCAAGCAAGAGCUCUCAGAGUCUAAUUUUAAGUGCUCAUUUUGUGUAUUCCUCAAUAAAAGUCAGGCAAUUAGGGG